UCUUGUAAUUCAAACCACUUUCCUGUGGAGCAUCAAAACUCUUGUUUCUCUGUGUUAAGCACACAGAAUAAAGAAUCAGGAUGAUGCCCCACAACAUUUGCCUAUGUAUUAGAAAGCCAUGCUGAGGUACAUGGAAGGAAAUCGUGAUCUAUCUGGCCCCAAGGAUGGAAAAAGAGAUAAAAUGGAAAUACAAACUGUGAGCAGUUUCUGCUCUGAACUGUAAACAUCAAUUCGGAAUUUUUGACAGAUGGAGUGGCUCUAUUUUGUUGGUUUUUGGAACUGAGGUCAAAAUUAAGAAGGGUGUUUGGGGGCAUUCAUAUUGUGCCAAUAAAGGUGCAAUUCUUGGACCAGUGCAAGACAGACCAGAGGGAAAGCAUUUGUCAAGAAUAUUUUCAUUAAUCAAGAAAGAAAGUCGGAAGUUCCAAGAUGAUCAGAUACCAUCAACUUUUCCACCACAAACAAUGCCAACUGGAGAUGCAGUGGUUUUAUUCCCAU
rnacentral:ncRNA from 1 species